rnacentral:rRNA from 1 species
UACGUAGGGUGCAAGCGUUGUCCGGAAUUAUUGGGCGUAAAGAGCGUGUAGGCGGUUUGGUAGGUCCGCUGUGAAAACUCGAGCUCAACCUCGAGACGCCGGUGGAAACCAUCAGACUAGAGUCCGGAAGAGGAGAGUGGAAUUCCUGGUGUAGCGGUGAAAUGCGCAGAUAUCAGGAAGAACACCCGUGGCUAAGGCGGCUCUCUAGUACGGUACUGACGCUGAGACGCGAAAGCGUGGGGAGCGAACAGG